rnacentral:rRNA from 1 species
GACGAACGCUGGCGGCGUGCUUAACACAUGCAAGUCGAACGGAAAGGCCCUGCUUUUGUGGGGUGCUCGAGUGGCGAACGGGUGAGUAACACGUGAGUAACCUGCCCUUGACUUUGGGAUAACUCCAGGAAACUGGGGCUAAUACCGGAUAGGAGCUCCUGCUGCAUGGUGGGGGUUGGAAAGUUUCGGCGGUUGGGGAUGGACUCGCGGCUUAUCAGCUUGUUGGUGGGGUAGUGGCUUACCAAGGCUUUGACGGGUAGCCGGCCUGAGAGGGUGACCGGCCACAUUGGGACUGAGAUACGGCCCAGACUCCUACGGGAGGCAGCAGUGGGGAAUAUUGCACAAUGGGCGGAAGCCUGAUGUAGCAACGCCGCGUGCGGGAUGACGGCCUUCGGGUUGUAAACCGCUUUCGCCUGUGACGAAGCGUGAGUGACGGUAAUGGGUAAAGAAGCACCGGCUAACUACGUG